GUGCUUGCUUCUGUAGCACAUAACGGUAAAAUUGAACAAUAGAGAGAUGAUUAGUAUGGCCCUACACAAAGAGGACAUGCGAACUUGUUAAGUGUUUCAUAUUUUU